rnacentral:rRNA from 1 species
UACGUAGGCAGCAAGCGUUGUUCGGAGUUACUGGGCGUAAAGAGUGCGUAGGUGGUGCCCUAAGUCUGUUGUGAAAUCUCCCGGCUUAACUGGGAGGGUGCGGUGGAAACUGGGGUGCUUGAGUGUGGGAGAGGUAAGCGGAAUUCCUGGUGUAGCGGUGAAAUGCGCAGAUAUCAGGAAGAACACCUAUGGCGAAGGCAGCUCUCUGGGACGGUACUGACGCUGAGACGCGAAAGCGUGGGGAGCGAACAGG